UCAUCUCAACUCAAUAGCUUUGCGGCUACUCGAGUUGGAUUUGGGAGUCUGCUGGCCUCUAGAGGUCGGCUCUCCUUGAAUGCAUGAGUGAGCAUCUGGCUCGCGUCGCUGAUGUGAUAAUCUUCAUCAUUGGAGGCGCUUGUCUAAUGGGCUUGCUUUCGAACCGUCUUCUCAACGGAGACAAUCAUUGACCA
rnacentral:misc_RNA from 1 species